UUGACAGAAGAGAGAGAGCACAACCCGGCAUCGGCAAAAGAGUCUUUGUUUAUGUUGGGAGUGUGCUCUUUCUUCUUCUGUCAU
rnacentral:pre_miRNA from 1 species